AUGAGAACAGAGCCUAAGCAUUGGGCCAGAGCUUUUUUCCCUCUGGGUUCAAUGUGUGACUCAGUGGACAAUAACUUAUGUGAGUCUUUCAACAAUUCAAUCAUUGAGGCAUGAUUCUAUCCUUGCAUAUCAAUGCUGGAAAAGGUUAGACAAAAAAUGACAAAGAGAGUUCAAGAAAUCAGAGAGAAAUAUGAGAAGUGGACUAAUAAUCCAAUUUGCCCAAAUAUAUUCAAAAAACUUAAGGUCAACAUCAAAUUAACUCAGUUCUGUGAUGUGCUUUGGAAUGGGAAAGAAGGAUUUGAGGUUAGACAUGUCAGUGGAAGAGGAAGGACCUACACUGUCAAUUUAGAUAAGAGAACAUGCUCAUGUGGGUAUCUACAGCUGGCAGGUCUACCUUGCUGCCAUGCUAUCAGUGCUAUAUAUAAGAGUGGCAGAUGA
rnacentral:rRNA from 1 species